UGGGGUUUACCCAUGACCGAGCCAGGGAGAGACGGGCGCUCUCCAUGACGGCAAAGCCUCGAGUGGACCCCUCAGCACACUCUCUGCCUACCCCCCACCCCAUGAACCGACGGGGGUUAUCCCGGUCCUCACUAGACGUCUGGGGCAGCUAGCCAGGAGCUCAACACAAGCCUGAACCAAAGCCGUGGAGGAACAGCCCUCCACAUGGCGCUUCCAAGAUGGUGGCUGGCAGCGUACUGUAAAAGCAGAGCAUGCUGCCGACACAUGCCUGAAACACAGACAGCAGGUGAGCGGAACCGCAGGCGGCGAGAGGUGAGGGGAAAGCCCUUGGGUGCAGACCACCCACAAUCUUCCUGGCCCACCCGGGCUGCAGACCACAGGGCUGAAAACCCGAAAACAUCGCCCACAUGCACGGAGGCACAAACACCAUAAGAGACGGUUGACCGUCAGAUUCUCAGUCACUCAGUCUCAGUCACUCCCGCACGGGGAGAACACUUGGGCCCCAGAGGUGGCCGAGUGUGUUGCCAGGAGAUGCAGGCCUGCACACCAGCCUGGGGCUGGAGGGACACUCUCACUCAUACCUGUGCAGCACCAAACUGCCAGAACCCACACACAGGCUCCUGCUGCUACAUGAAAGAAGGCAUCGGAUGAAAGUGACUCUACCCAUGGCCUUCUGACCUCAUUGCAAACCAACCACGUCCUACCAUGCCACACAAGCGAGAACAUGGAAUGUAACGGGCAGCAUGACACUCGAGAGGACCCCAGACCACAGUGACUAUCUACACCCUUGAAUCAGCCUAUAAUUAGCAAAGCAUGUUUAUUUCAUUCUAGUUUACGCUAUUCCAUCUAACUUGCAUUCCAGCCACAUAACUUAACCUGCUUAGCGAGCAUAACUAGUUCCAGCCUAAAGCUUAUGUACUUAUUCCAUCAUUUACCAUAUAUGCCUGCCACAUAUCACGGGACGACUAGCACACAUAGCACAUACAGUACACCAUACAUGUUCUGUUCACACAGAUACGCUUAGUUGUUUUAUCAUACUGUUUCUCACUAGUUACCCACUACCAAAGCUAAUGUAUCUACCGUAUUUACUAAGCCAGCGUCCUAAAUAUAUUUACCUAGCGUGACUUUAAUAACAAAAAUUGUGCCGAUAUUGCAUGCCACGAAAAUGUUUAUACUGUGCACUUGUCUUCGCUUGCAUCUGCUGUUGUGGCAGCACAAGCGUGUUUGUUCAACCAUGUACUGCAAAAAUAAUAAAUAAAAAUAAAUAAAAAAC